rnacentral:rRNA from 1 species
CAGCCGUAAACAAUGUGCGUUAGGUGUGUCGGUAACCACGCGUUACUGAUGCGCCGAAGAGAAAUCGUGAAACGCACCACCUGGGAAGUACGGUCGCAAGGCUGAAACUUAAAGGAAUUGGCGGGGGAGGCACCACAACAGGUGGAGCCUGCGGUUUAAUUUGGAUUCAACGCCGGACAUCUCACCGGAUAAGACAGCUGAAUGAUUGUCAAUCUGAAGGUUUUACAUGACUAGCUGAGAGGUGGUGCAUGGC